AGCGAACGCUGGCGGCAGGCUUAACACAUGCAAGUCGAACGGGCAUCUUCGGAUGUCAGUGGCAGACGGGUGAGUAACACGUGGGAACGUACCCUUCGGUUCGGAAUAACUCAGGGAAACUUGAGCUAAUACCGGAUACGCCCUUUUGGGGAAAGGUUUACUGCCGAAGGAUCGGCCCGCGUCUGAUUAGCUUGUUGGUGGGGUAACGGCCUACCAAGGCGACGAUCAGUAGCUGGUCUGAGAGGAUGAUCAGCCACACUGGGACUGAGACACGGCCCAGACUCCUACGGGAGGCAGCAGUGGGGAAUAUUGGACAAUGGGCGCAAGCCUGAUCCAGCCAUGCCGCGUGAGUGGUGAAGGCCUUAGGGUUGUAAAGCUCUUUUGUCCGGGACGAUAAUGACGGUACCGGAAGAAUAAGCCCCGGCUAACUUCGUG
rnacentral:rRNA from 1 species